ACGAACGCUGCGGCGUGCUUAACACAUGCAAGUCGAUGCGUUAAGGCUCCUUCGGGAGUACACGAGCGGCGACGGGUGAGUAACACGUGAGCAAUCUGCCCAUCUCAUCGGAAUAACCAUUGGAAACGAUGGCUAAUGCCGAAUACGACCCACCUUGGGCAUCCUUGGUGGUGGAAAGCUCCGGCGGAGAUGGAUGAGCUCGCCGGCCUAUCAGCUUGUUGUGGGGUAAUGGCCCAGCCAAGGUCAACGACGGGUAGCCGGCCUGAGAGGGUGACCGGCCACACUGGACUGGAGACAUGGCCCCUACUCCUACGGGAGGCAGCAGUGGGGAAUAUUGGACAAUGGGCGCAAGCCUGAUCCAGCAACGCCGCGUGAGGGAUGACGGCCUUCGUGUGUAAACCUCUUUCAGCAGGGGACGAAGCGAAAGUGACGGUACCUGCAGAAGAAGGACCGGCCAACUACGUGCCAGCAGCCGCGGGUAAUACGUAGGGUCCGAGCGUUGUCCGGAAUUAUUGGGCGUAAAGGGCUCGUAGCGGUUUGUCGCGUCGGGAGUGGAAACUCAGGGCUCAACCCUGAGCGUGCUUCCGAUACGGGCAGACUAAGGGUAUGCAGGGGAGAACGGAAUUCCUGGUGUAGCGGUGGGAAUGCGCAGAUAUCAGGAGGAACACCGGUGGCGAAGGCGGUUCUCUGGGCAUUACCUGACGCUGAGGAGCGAAAGCAUGGGGAGCGAACAGGAUUAGAUACCCUGGUAGUCCAUGCCGUAAACGUUGGGCGCUAGGUUGGGGACCUUCCAAGGUCUCCGUGCCGCAGCUAACGCAUUAAGCGCCCCGCCUGGGGAGUACGGCCGCAAGGCUAAAACUCAAAGGAAUUGACGGGGGCCCGCACAAGCGGCGGAGCAUGCUGAUUAAUUCGAUGCAACGCGAAGAACCUUACCUGGGUUGACAUAUCCGGAAAGCCAUAGAGAUAUGGCCCCCCUUGUGGUCGGUAAACAGGUGGCGCAUGGCUGUCGUCAGCUCGUGUCGUGAGAUGUUGGGUUAAGUCCCGCAACGAGCGCAACCCUCGUCCUAUGUUGCCAGCACGUAAUGGUGGGGACUCAUAGGAGACUGCCGGGGUCAACUCGGAGGAGGUGGGGAUGACGUCAAGUCUUCAUGCCCCUUAUAUCCAGGCUUCAAGCAUGCUACAAUGGCCGGUACAAGGGCUGCGAUAUCGCAAGAUGGAGGCGAAUCCCAAACAGCCGGUCUCAGUUCGGAUUGGGGUCUGCAACUCGACCCCAUGAAGUCGGAGUCGCUAGUAAAUCGCAGAUCAGCAACGCUGCGGUGAAUACGUUCCCGGGCCUUGUACACACCGCCCGUCACGUCAUGAAAGUUGGCAACACCCGAAGCCGGUGGCCCAACCCUUGUGGAGGGAGCCGUCGAAGGUGGGGCGAGCGAUUGGGACG
rnacentral:rRNA from 1 species